AUGAACGCUGGCGGCGUGCCUAAUACAUGCAAGUCGAGCGAACAGACGAGGAGCUUGCUCCUCUGACGUUAGCGGCGGACGGGUGAGUAACACGUGGAUAACCUACCUAUAAGACUGGGAUAACUUCGGGAAACCGGAGCUAAUACCGGAUAAUAUAUUGAACCGCAUGGUUCAAUAGUGAAAGACGGUUUUGCUGUCACUUAUAGAUGGAUCCGCGCCGCAUUAGCUAGUUGGUAAGGUAACGGCUUACCAAGGCAACGAUGCGUAGCCGACCUGACAGGGUGAUCGGCCACACUGGAACUGAGACACGGUCCAGACUCCUACGGGAGGCAGCAGUAGGGAAUCUUCCGCAAUGGGCGAAAGCCUGACGGAGCAACGCCGCGUGAGUGAUGAAGGUCUUCGGAUCGUAAAACUCUGUUAUUAGGGAAGAACAAAUGUGUAAGUAACUAUGCACGUCUUGACGGUACCUAAUCAGAAAGCCACGGCUAACUACGUG
rnacentral:rRNA from 1 species